GACGAACGCUGGCGGCGUGCCUAAUACAUGCAAGUAGAACGCUGAAGAGAGGAGCUUGCUCUUCUUGGAUGAGUUGCGAACGGGUGAGUAACGCGUAGGUAACCUGCCUUGUAGCGGGGGAUAACUAUUGGAAACGAUAGCUAAUACCGCAUAACAAUGGAUGACCCAUGUCAUUUAUUUGAAAGGGGCAAAUGCUCCACUACAAGAUGGACCUGCGUUGUAUUAGCUAGUAGGCGAGGUAACGGCUCACCUAGGCGACGAUACAUAGCCGACCUGAGAGGGUGAUCGGCCACACUGGGACUGAGACACGGCCCAGACUCCUACGGGAGGCAGCAGUAGGGAAUCUUCGGCAAUGGGGGCAACCCUGACCGAGCAACGCCGCGUGAGUGAAGAAGGUUUUCGGAUCGUAAAGCUCUGUUGUAAGUCAAGAACGAGUGUGAGAGUGGAAAGUUCACGCUGUGACGGUAGCUUACCAGAAAGGGACGGCUAACUACGUG
rnacentral:rRNA from 1 species